AACGAACGCUGGCGGCAUGCCUAACACAUGCCAGUCGAACGAGACCUUCGGGUCUAGUGGCGCACGGGUGCGUAACGCGUGGGAACCUGCCCUUAGGUUCGGAAUAACUCCCCGAAAGGGGUGCUAAUACCGGAUAAUGUCUUCGGACCAAAGAUUUAUCGCCUUUGGAUGGGCCCGCGUUGGAUAGCUAGUUGGUAGGGUAAAAGCCUACCAAGGCGACGAUCCAUAGCUGGUCUGAGAGGAUGAUCAGCCACACUGGGACUGAGACACGGCCCAGACUCCUACGGGAGGCAGCAGUGGGGAAUAUUGGACAAUGGGCGAAAGCCUGAUCCAGCAAUGCCGCGUGAGUGAUGAAGGCCUUAGGGUUGUAAAGCUCUUUUACCCGGGAUGAUAAUGACAGUACCGGGAGAAUAAGCUCCGGCUAACUCCGUG
rnacentral:rRNA from 1 species